rnacentral:rRNA from 1 species
AUGGAUGCAUUUACAGUAGUUCCUGAUCCAUAUGAUCGUGUCUACGAGAAUAUACCUGUAAGUACUCACACGCUGGCACCUAAAACUGAUUGCAAGCAUUGUGGUGCAAAGAGGUUCCAGUAUGAGACAAAUGGAUUUUGUUGCUGGUCUGGAAAAGUUAAGUUGGCACACUUAGAACCACCCUUGGAACUUAAAAUGCUAUACACAAGUUCAGAUCCCAAUGCCGUGCAUUUUAGGGAUAACAUUCGAUACUUCAAUGGACACUUUUCAUUCACUACCCUUGGAGUCAGUCUGGACAACAGAUACACAAACAUGAAGUCAGGAGUCUAUACGUUUCAAGCUCACGGUUAG